UAAGCCGAAUAGUCGCUGGUAGAAACCGCAAGGUUCUACGAGAGGAAAGUCCGGGCUCCAUAGAGCAAUGAUGCUGGUUAACGGCCAGUAAGGGAAACCUUAAGGAAAGUGCAACAGAAAAUUACCGCUUAAUUUAUAUAAUUAAGUAAGGAUGAAAAGGCGAGGUAAGAGCUCACCGCUGGUAUGGUAACAUAUCAGGCUGUGUAAACCCCAUCUGGAGCAACACCUAAAAAAGAAGGCUAAGACUGCUCGUCAUCUUCUUGAAUUGGUGGCUUGAAAUAUAUAGUAAUAUAUAUUCUAGAUAAAUGACUAUUCAAGACAGAACCCGGCUUAUAGACUUACUA
rnacentral:RNase_P_RNA from 1 species